rnacentral:lncRNA from 13 species
AUGUGCCGCAACCUUGGGGGUCUCCGUUGCUCGUCCCGCGGGUUGGGACAAACUGGCACCCAACGUGAGAGCUCAAGUACGAGGGACACAGUGAGGGACACCGUCGAGGUCAGCCGGCACAGAAGGAUUAAGAAACCUGGAGAAAAGAGCGCCGUGGGAACCUGCCACGGACUCACGCUCCGAUUGAAGGAACAUCAGUCCACAAAGAAGAGAGAAAAACAACAACAACCAAAAAAACACAACAACAACAAAAAUGCAAGAACUCUGACAACUCGAAUAGUCAAUGUGCCCUCUAUCCGCAACCAACUUCACCACUUCUGUAGCAAGGAUUCUCAACUGGGAUGA